rnacentral:rRNA from 1 species
AUUGAACGCUGGCGGCAGGCCUAACACAUGCAAGUCGAGCGGAUGAAGGGAGCUUGCUCCUGGAUUCAGCGGCGGACGGGUGAGUAAUGCCUAGGAAUCUGCCUGGUAGUGGGGGAUAACGUCCGGAAACGGGCGCUAAUACCGCAUACGUCCUGAGGGAGAAAGUGGGGGAUCUUCGGACCUCACGCUAUCAGAUGAGCCUAGGUCGGAUUAGCUAGUUGGUGGGGUAAAGGCCUACCAAGGCGACGAUCCGUAACUGGUCUGAGAGGAUGAUCAGUCACACUGGAACUGAGACACGGUCCAGACUCCUACGGGAGGCAGCAGUGGGGAAUAUUGGACAAUGGGCGAAAGCCUGAUCCAGCCAUGCCGCGGGUGUGAAGAAGGUCUUCGGAUUGUAAAGCACUUUAAGUUGGGAGGAAGGGCAGUAAGUUAAUACCUGGCUGUUUUGACGUUCCAACAGAAUAAGCACCGGCUAACUUCGUG